rnacentral:rRNA from 1 species
UACGGAGGAUCCGAGCGUUAUCCGGAUUUAUUAGGUUUAAAGGGUGCGUAGGCGGACUUGUAAGUCAGCUGUGAAAGUUUACGGCUCAACCGUAAAAUUGCAGUUGAAACUUUAGGUCUUGAGUAUACAUGAGGUGGGCGGAAUUUGUGGUGUAGCGGUGAAAUGCUUAGAUAUCACAAAGAACUCCAGUUGCGAAGGCAGCUCACUGGGGUAUAACUGACGCUGAUGUACGAAGGUGUGGGGAGCAAACAGG